rnacentral:lncRNA from 1 species
CAGAAUACUACAAAAUCAGAGGCUAAACAACUAUAGAUCCUGGUUCUCAAAUGAGACAUUUAAGAGAGAAAACAAAGUAGAUGACCCUGGCUUCAAGAAAUAAAAAACUCUCUCCAAAACGAACCUAGAAGUUACAUGAAUUAUUGCCAAGUGAAACGGCAUCCAAGAGUAUAUCAUUCAAUUCCCAAACCAAUAGCCAAGAUGAAGCCACACGUCAAGAUCCAGUAAAAUCCCUCCAUUAGCAAAGUCGCAUUCC